rnacentral:rRNA from 1 species
ACGCUCGACACCUACGGGAAGCAGCAGUAGGGAAUCUUCCACAAUGGGCGCAAGCCUGAUGGAGCAACACCGCGUGAGUGAAGAAGGGUUUCGGCUCGUAAAGCUCUGUUGUUGGAGAAGAACGUGCGUGAGAGUAACUGUUCACGCAGUGACGGUAUCCAACCAGAAAGUCACGGCUAACUACGUGCCAACAGCCGCGGUAAUCUGAGGCCGGGCUGGCAAGGC